GUAGGCUUUUUGGACAAUCUGUGCCCUGCCGUAUCAUUUUCCCAACAGAUGUCUGCAGAGCUUUGAAGCGGAGCCUGGAGCUGGAGCGCGGAGCAGCUCCGGAGCAGUGGAGGUGCAGGUUUUUGCCUGGAGCUGGAGCGGAGCCAGAGCACAGCUCCAAAGCCCUGGAUGUCUGGGUACUUGAGGUCCCACAUCACCACCAAAUCCUUUUAUUGGACCAACAACUGUUGGUGAAAGAGAGACGCUUUCGAGCUACACAGAGCUCUUCUUCAGGUCUGGUGCUGAAGGGUGUGGAGAUCAUCAUGAACAACUCACCUACACCACUGCAAUAUUGAUGAUGGAUGUAUUUUGUGAAGUUUGUGUUCACAAAAUGUCCCUCGGUCCACGCCACUUCCAGCAGCUCCCGUUGACCUGGAACAGCGAACUGCAGCCACUGAGAGCCGUGGUCGGCUGAACCUACAGACGCGGCAGAUACUACACAGACUCCUUAAAAUCAGUUAUUCCACUCAGUAGUGACUCUUCUGUGUAAAUGCCACUGAGAUGGAGGUCAGGAAACAUACAGGUGGAGACGUUGAAUGCUGUGCCCCAGUUUGAUGCUGUAGCCACUGCAUGUCUGGACCCUGUGGUAAUUAAGUUGCACAGAGAGGAUGGUACGAGCAACACGGCCAAAGCAGUGAUGAACCUUCAUGAGUUCUGUUCUUGAGCUUUUCCCUA